UGGGGAAUAUUGGACAAUGGGCGAAAGCCUGAUCCAGCCAUGCCGCGUGUGUGAAGAAGGUCUUCGGAUUGUAAAGCACUUUAAGUUGGGAGGAAGGGCAGUAAGCGAAUACCUUGCUGUUUUGACGUUACCGACAGAAUAAGCACCGGCUAACUCUGUGCCAGCAGCCGCGGUAAUACAGAGGGUGCAAGCGUUAAUCGGAAUUACUGGGCGUAAAGCGCGCGUAGGUGGUUCGUUAAGUUGAAUGUGAAAGCCCCGGGCUCAACCUGGGAACUGCAUCAAAAACUGGCGAGCUAGAGUAGGGCAGAGGGGGGUGGAAUUUCCUGGGUAGCGGUGAAAUGCGUAGAUAUAGGAAGGAACACCAGUGGCGAAGGCGACCACCUGGGCUCAUACUGACACUGAGGUGCGAAAGCGUGGGAGCAAACAGG
rnacentral:rRNA from 1 species